rnacentral:sRNA from 1 species
GUAGAUACUCAUUCCAUUUGUUAUGUUUGCCGCGAUGGCUUCAUAAUCCCGGGAAUGAUGUAGAGCCAUUCAGGGUGCUUAUCGUCCAGACACUGAUGUCGUCUUUAUUGAUCUCAUCAAAGCGUAUGGACAUUACGUUGAGUGAAGCACCGCUUGUUGUCUAACAGACCUGUCUUUGCGCUGGCUAUUUUGGCCGGCGUUUUUUU